GACGAACGCUGGCGGCGUGCUUAACACAUGCAAGUCGAACGGAAAGGCCCUGCUUUUGUGGGGUGCUCGAGUGGCGAACGGGUGAGUAACACGUGAGUAACCUGCCCUCGACUUUGGGAUAACUUCAGGAAACUGGGGCUAAUACCGGAUAGGAGCUCCUGCUGCAUGGUGGGGGUUGGAAAGUUUCGGCGGUUGGGGAUGGACUCGCGGCUUAUCAGCUUGUUGGUGGGGUAGUGGCUUACCAAGGCUUUGACGGGUAGCCGGCCUGAGAGGGUGGCCGGCCACAUUGGGACUGAGAUACGGCCCAGACUCCUACGGGAGGCAGCAGUGGGGAAUAUUGCACAAUGGGCGGAAGCCUGAUGCAGCAACGCCGCGUGCGGGAUGACGGCCUUCGGGUUGUAAACCGCUUUCGCCUGUGACGAAGCGUGAGUGACGGUAAUGGGUAAAGAAGCACCGGCUAACUACG
rnacentral:rRNA from 1 species